rnacentral:rRNA from 1 species
CACGGGGAGGUAGUGACAAUAAAUAACAAUAUAGGGCUCUUUCGGGUCUUAUAAUUGGAAUGAGUACAAUUUAAAUCCCUUAACGAGGAACAAUUGGAGGGCAAGUCUGGUGCCAGCAGCCGCGGUAAUUCCAGCUCCAAUAGCGUAUAUUAAAGUUGUUGCAGUUAAAAAGCCCGUAGUUGAACUUCAGGCCUGGUGGGGUGGUCCGCUUAACGGCGUGUACUGCUCUGCUGGGUCUUACCUCUUGGUGAGCCGGCGUGGCCUUCACUGGUUGCGUCGGGGAACCAGGACUUUUACCUUGAGAAAAUUAGAGUGUUCAAAGCAGGCCUAUGCCUGAAUACAUUAGCAUGGAAUAAUAAAAUAGGACGUGCGGUUCUAUUUUGUUGGUUUCUAGAGUCGCCGUAAUGAUUAAUAGGGAUAGUUGGGGGCAUUGGUAUUGAGUCGCUAGAGGUGAAAUUCUUGGAUUGACUCAAGACCGACUACUGCGAAAGCAUUUGCCAAGGAUGUUUUCAUUAAUCAAGGACGAAGGUUAGGGGAUCGAAAACGAUCAGAUACCGUUGUAGUCUUAACAGUAAACUAUGCCGACUAGGGAUCGGGCGACCUCAAAUUUGAUGUGUCGCUCGGCACCUUACGAGAAAUCAAAGUUUUUGGGUUCUGGGGGGAGUAUGGUCGCAAGGCUGAAACUUAAAGGAAUUGACGGAAGGGCACCACCAGGUGUGGAGCCUGCG